CCUUGAGAUAAAUAUGAUAAAACAACUAUGUUCUCCAGUAGUUUCUGUAAGUACAUAUACUUAUAUAUAUAUAAUAUAUAUAUGUAUAUAAAGGUGUGGUAUGAUUGACAAUGAAACAACUCUCUACAAGAGACCAAAUGACACAAAAAUUACCAACUAUAGGUCAUCGUACGGCCUUCAACAAUGAGCAAUGCCGAUACUGCAUAGUUAGCUAUAAAAGACCCCGAAAUGACAAAUGUAAAACAAAGUUCAAACGAGAAAACUGACUAACGGCAUAAUUUGUUUACAAAAAAAAGAAAUAAAAAAAAAAAAAAUCAGUUGAAAACGGCUUAACUCAUCAGAUGGAUAUACAUCUAACAAAAACACAGAAUGUCUAUGUCUAGCUGCUUAAUAAUCAAUUAUCAUCUUGAAAUAUUUUCCACUGGACGUUAAGCAAACAACAUCAACCUAGCUUGUCUUUUGGACACCAGCAACUACACAACUUUCUGUAAUCAUCUGCUGCUAUUUUUACUUGUAAAAAAACACGCAAGCUUCAAAAAUCGAUUUGUAUAUCUUGUAUAUGCAAACUCCUUGUUGAAAACAAUAUGGCGGACGUUAUAUUUUGUAUACAAGACAUACAAAUUGAAUUCUUGAAGUGAAAUUGCACUUUUAAUGAAUAAAAACGAGUAACAUCUUUAAUUUAUAAUCUUUUUGUUGUACACACCAUAACAAAUCUUUUUAUCGGGAUAUAUCAGUUUGUUCUUGGGAUGUUAUAAAGGUUCUUGUAUUUCUCGGGAAAUCGUGGUAUCGCUCUUUGUGGGCCCUGAAACUUGGAAACGAAUAAAUACAUGUAGAUAUAUAAAAAAAAUCUGUUCUACCCUAUGAUACCAGAAGUCCAUUUAUACUUAUUAUGGUUUUCGGAUAAUUCAAGAUACUUCUUAAAGGGUAGUAAUGGGGGUACCUUCAUGACGUAUAACGGUAAAAAUUCUUGCCAAAUGAUGUUAAAAAUUUUAGUGCAUGACGACAAAAUGUACGGUGACUUUCUUUUAGACGAUAAAAAAUCAGCUGAAUUUGACAAAUCACGCUAUUUUUCCAAAAAUAACGGUAACGUUAAUUAUUCAAGAAUAAUUACAUUAAAUGUAUAUUUCAUUACAAUACGUUAUUCUGAUUGGCUACACUGCCGCUUGAAUCUCGCGUUAUUCCUUAAACAAUUGCAUUACACAACAAAAUGUAUCAUUCAUGAUGACACGAGGUCCCACAAAAUCGUAUUUCCAUGAUCAUAGCUAUACGUACUGAAUGGUUCUUUUUGUAACUUCAUAGAGGAGGGGCAAUAGGGGGUCCGUUAACAUGUUGGCAACACCUCGAUUUUGGCAAAAACAGUUAACAAACAUGCAAAAAUGCUGAUUACAGUUAACAAAGUGGGUUGAAAACAGUUAACAGCUUUAGUUUACCUGAAAUUAGCAGUUAACAACACCUUGAAAAGGGCCAAACAGGUUAACAUAAAAACAUAACUAGAGGCUCUGAAGAGCCUGUGUCACUCUCCUUGGUUUAUGUGAAUAUGAAACAAAGGACACAGAUGGAUUCAUGACAAAAUUGUGUUUUGGUGAUGGUGAUGUGUUUGUACAUUUUACUUUACUGAACAUUCUUGCUGCUUACAAUUAUUUCUAUCUAUAAUGAACUUGGCCCAGUAGUUUCAGGUGGAAAAUGUUAGUAAAAAUUAACAAAUUUUUUGAAAAUUGUUAAAAAUUGACUAUAAAGGACAAUAACUCCUUAGGGGGUCAAUUGACCAUUUUGGUCAUGUUGACUUAUUUUUAGGUGUUACUUUGCUGUACAUUAUUGCUGUUUACAGUUUAUCUCUAUCUAUAAUAAUAUUCAAGAUAAUAACCAAAAACAGCAAAAUUUCCCUAAAAUUACCUAUUCAGAGGCAGCAACCUAAUAACGGGUUGUCCGAUUCAUCUGAAAAUUCCAGAGCAGAUAGAUCUUGACCUGAUAAACAAUUUUACGCAGUCAGAUUUGCUCUAAAUGCUUUCGUUUUUGAGUUAUAAGCCAAAAAUUACAUUUUACCCCUUUGUUCUAUUUUUAGCCAUAUCAGCCAUCUUGGUUGGAUGGCCGGGUCAUCAGACACAUUUUUUAAACUAGAUACUCCAAAAAUGAUUGUGGCCAAGUUUGGAUUACUUUGGCCCAGUAGUUUCAGAGGAGAAGAUUUUUGUAAAAGAUUGCUAAGAUUUACGAAAAAUUGUUAAAAAUUGACUAGAAAGGGUAAUAACUCCUAAAGGGGUCAACUGACCAUUUUGGUCAUGGUGACUUAUUUGUAAAUCUUACUUUGCUGAAUAUUAUUGCUGUUUACAGUUUAUCUCUAUCUAUAAUAAUAUUCAAGAUAAUAACCAAAAAACAGCAAAAUUUCUCUAAAAUCACCUAUUCAGGGACAGCAACCCAACAACAGGUUGUCCGAUUCAUCUGAAAAUUUCAGAGCAGAUAGAUCUUGACCUGAUAAACAAUUUUACGUCUGUCAGAUUUGCUCUAAAUGCUUUGGUUUUUGAGUUAUAAGCCAAAAACUGCAUUUUCCACCUAUGUUCUAUUUUUAGCCAUGGCACCCAUCUUGGUUAGCUGGCCGGGUCAUCGGACACAUUUUUAAACUAGAUACCCCAUAGAUGAUUUUGGCGAAGUUUGGAUUAAUUUUGCCUAGUAGUUUCAGAGGAGAAGAUUUUUGUAAUAGAUUAAGAUUUACGAAAAAUGGUUAAAAAUUGACUAUAAAGAGCAAUAACUCCUAAAGGGGUCAACUGACCAUUUUGGUCAUGCUAACUUAUUUGUAAAUCUUACUUUGCUGAACAUUAUUGCUGUUUACAGUUUAUCUCUAUCUAUAAUAAUCUUCAAGAUAAUAACCAAAAACAGCAAAAUUUCCCUAAAAUUACCAAUUCAGGGGCAGCAACCCAACAAAGGGUUGUCCAAUUCAUCUGAAAAUUUCAGGGCAGAUAGAUCUUGACUUGAUAAACAAUUUUACGUCUGUCAGAUUUGCUCUAAAUGCUUUGGUUUUUGAGUUAUAAGCCAAAAACUGCAUUUUACCCCUAUGUUCUAUUUUUAGCCAUGGCGGACAUCUUGGUUGGUAAGCGGGGUCACCGGACACAUUUUUUAAACUAGAUACCCCAAUGAUGAUUGUGGCCAAGUUUGGUUAAAUUUGGCCCAGUAGUUUCAGAGGAGAAGAUUUUUGUAAAAGUUAUGGACGGACGACGACGACGGACGACGACGACGACGACGACGGACGACGACGACGACGGACGACGGAUGCCAAGUAAUGAGAAAAACUCACUUGGCCCUUCGCGCUUCAUACAAAAUGUACUUCGGUCAACGCAUUUACACCCAUAAUGAAGUAACAAAAAGAUCUUCGAGCAUUCAAUUCUUAACAUCUGACGAAUCACGAUAAGGCCCAUGGUAUAUAUCACGGUAACUGAUUUGACGCUAACGGUAGCCGAAAAUGAGCGUUUGAGGCCUGACGGUAAAAGACAUUACCACACUCCUUUAUGGGUCCUGCAAUUUGGAAAAAAAUAAAAAAUAUUUAAUACAAAUAUAAAAUAUUUAAAUAUUUUAUAGUGUAUAUACCUGUUUGUCUUUUUAUCAUUUCUUGUUUAUAAUUGAUAUACCUUAAUUAGGAAAUAAAAAUACUCUAAUUAGGAAAUAAAAUUGUUUGAUUUGACUUAUGGGCCCUGUUGUAAUUUGCGGGGAAAGUAUAUUUGUCAUAUGAAAAUCAUAUGAAUAUAUAAAUGUUUUAUUCUAUACUAUUCGUUAAAUACAAGAGGUCAGAAUAGAAUAGAAUAGAAUAGAAUAGAAUAGAAUAGAAUAGAAUAGAAUAGAAUAGAAUAGAAUAGAAUAGAAUAGAAUAAAUAGAAUAGAAUAGAAUAGAAUAGAAUAGAAUAUUUUUAUUUCCCAAAUUACAAAUAUUCAAUAUUACAGUUACAGAACUGAUAUUCAAAUAUCAGUAUACUAAAAAAAUCGACGUCUUCUAUCAGAUAAGGGACUUAUCAUUUUUUACCUGGGAAAGGGGGGGGCUGAUCAUUUUGAAAUCAAACAUACAAAAUGUCUUGACCCCCCCCAUAAUAUUUCUAUAUUUUUAUUUGAUCACCCCCCCCCCAGUAAAAACAUUUAAAAAAUGUGAUCCCCCCUCUAUUAAACAUGCCAAAAUUUUUACAUGCAAAACACUUAUAAUGGUAUUUCACGAAAAUAUUGAAAAUGAAAUAUUCUUAGUGGAUUGAGUCUUAAAACAUUUUUUGAGGGAAAUUGUCUUGAAAUAGGUAACGUCCAUGAGACCUCUUCCAUGAGGCCUUUACCAUGAUUAUAAGUUGGUAAAGCAAGCCACGGUGCUUUGAGUAUUUUUUUCUGACUUUUUUUUCUAAUUUCCUAUAUCAGUGGCGGAUCCAGGGGGGGGGGUCCGGGGAUUGGAACCCCCUUUUUUGGACGAUCAAUGCAUGUGAAUGGAAGCAUAUAGUUGAACCCCCUCCCCUUUUACUCUGCGGGUUGGGAACCCCCCUUUUUUAAAAUGGCCGGAUCCGCCACUGUAUAUUGUGCUCGUCAAGAAACUUGAUCCUAAGUAACUCUAUAAAAUAACUUUUUGAAACAGUAGCAACACAUUAUUUACUUAGAGGAAUCUUUUAUAUGUCCCUCUCUUGAACACUGAUUAAACUUAUUAAACGUUUUAUGUAAGACCUCAAAUGAGUCGCUAAACUUUUUAUAUAUGGAUAAAUAAUGAUAAGUCCCUAAUAUCAUAGAGAGCUUAUUAUCUUAUCGAUUUUUGUAGCAAGACCAGGGAUAUCGAGUAACUGAUUAGUCACACUCGCAUUAUUUACUUUUUACUGCUUAACAUUGCGCAAUGAUUAAUCAUGUUAUCGAUCGUUCCUCAUGAGCCCCUUGAUAAAAAUUUGUUUUUGUAAAACUACAUUUCAUUGGCUGAUCUUUGGCAAUAUUAUCCAAUUAGAAUUUGUUUAUCAUUCAAGCACCUGAAUAUCAUGGAGGACGAAAUGGAAAUGUAAGAAUUAAUGGAAAAGUUUCAAAACAUAAUAAACUGACUAGCGUUGUAGUUUUAAUAGUUAUCAUAGGAAAAAUAAAGAUAUGUGAUAACCUGCUCCCCAUUCGAUAAAAUAUUCCAGUCCUCUUUGGUCGUCUCUCAGUCAGCGAUACCCAUUACUUUACUCAGGUCUGUGUAUCUUUUCUGCCAAAUUAUAUGUAUAGGCACAUCUUCAAUAUGAAGUCGACAAAUUCCCAGAAUAAAAGGGAGGGAGGUACUGUUUCAAUCAUAUGCCGUAUGUCCCCAUUCAAAAGCAUUGAUCGUAAAAAGGGGGGUUAAAUCAGCCUCCUUGUAUCAAUCACUGCCUACACCAAAAUUAUACGGUAAACGGACAGAAAGUCACAGGACAAAAAGUCACAGGACAUAAAGUCACAAAUUUGAUAGGACAAAAAGUCACAGGACAAAAAGUCACAAAUAAUUUGGUGACAAUUGUUUGAAUAUAUAAGAGAAAAAUAUUUUGAAAUAUUUACUUUUUAAUACAUAUAUUCAUAUUAAAGUUUAGGAAAUGUGUCAUUAUACUUGAAAAAUCAAGAUUUAUUUAAUUUUAAUCAGGCAAAAGAUAUAUUUCUUGGCACCAUGAAGCCAUGUAAGUGCCAAACCACUUUGACAUUUUGUUUUUUUAACAAUUAUUUGAUCAUCUUUGAUAUUUUUUUGAUAAAUUUUGUUAACAAAGUUGGUUUAUAUACAAUAGUUCAAGAAAAAUACAAAAAUAUUUUUGUAGAAAUAAGCGGUUUUUAUUCAAAGAAAAUAAUCAGAAAAAAUGAAUUGUGACUUUUUGUCCUGUGACUUUUUGUCCAUGACUUUUUGUCUGUGACUUUUUGUCCUGUGACUUUCUGUCCUACAUUCAAUUAUACACCUUAUCCCUAUUUGUCCGCCAUUAUUGGAUAUUACACAGGUUCCCGUAAAAAUUAGACCUCACAAAACAAAAUAUCUGACACCACAAUGGAAAAUUGAUAGUUGUAUGCACAAGGAUCCGGAAAUUUUUUCACCUAAUUUCGGUCAUUUUCAUAUAACUCAAAAGUUGGUGCCCCUUUUCAAAAACAGAUUGUCAAAAUCUCAUUACUGCAUGAGUAUGCACCUACUCGUAGCAUCAACGAACUUGUUUAACUGUUGCAUCGCGUUUACUUCAUGAUUUGUCCUACCAUUUUCCUAAAAUCGAUCAAGAGCAAUUAAGGGAAGGCAACAGUUUAAGAAUAAAAUGAUUUUAAUGACUCAAAAUCGUAAUUUUCUCAGUCAUCGCUUACGUUUCUUUCAAUUCUGAAGUGGAAAUUCAAACUGGAUGUAAUGCGACAAUACUAAAACGAACAAUUCCGGACUUAUUCCCGGGAUUAGUUUUGUUUAUCAAAUUCACAGGAAAACAUCGGUUUUUUUUUUAAAAUAUUUUACCUUUAAUAGUGUAAGAAUAUUAAUGAAAAUAGUUGCACUUGCUUUAUUUAGCAAGAAAUCAUUUUAAAUUUACUAUUUAGUGUAAAAUCUGCGGAAGAGAAUUUUAGGCAUGCGUAUCAUAGCACGUGUGUUAGUAGUGAAAAAAAUCUUUUUUCUACGUAAAUUAAAUCAAGUUUUAAUUUAAUUUUAAAUCAUAUUGACAAUUGUCUUAGCUGAAAAGUAAUUAAAUAAUGAAGACAGUUGGUAUUGAAUUUUAAUUUCUUUAUAAUAUUAGUUCGGAGCUUGUGAUUAAUAGCCAGGUGUGAAUUAAAAACACAUGUAAAAGAGAUUAGCGAUCAUUAGCCAAUAGCUCCCCGAGGCAUUAAUAUAGCUAUUAGGAGGGCCCUCAGGAUUAUAACACUUUACUGGAGUGCAGUUUUAACUACAUAAAAUCGAUAACAAAACAAAAAUAUGUUUAAAAUGGCGAUUUGACUCAAUCUCAACAAAUGACCGAAAUUAUUUCUGUUGAAAAAUAAAAUUUGACCUAAAUCCCAAUAAAUGAUUUAGGACUUUUGAGUUUCCAGAUCGGUCAUGUCUGGCAUAUAUGACCGUUUCCGGACCCUUGUGUAUGCAUCAAAAGUUCAAGCGGCCGGGUCAGCCGGAUUAGCGAUAAGGUGUAUAAGGCAAUAUCAUAUACCUUUAUAUUUAUAAAAUCUGAAUAUAAGUGUCAAAAUAACAUACCUUUAUUUCUUUUCACAUUCUCAUAGCUUUAUUCUUUUUGGGUAUACUUGAAUUGUUUUACAUUGUCUUAUCAGGGCCUUAUAUAGCUGACUAUACAGUAUGGGCUUUGCUCAUUGUUGAAGGCCGUAGGGUGACCUAUAGUUGUAAAUGUCUGUGUCAUUUUGGUCUCGUGUGGACAGUUGUCUCAUUAGCAAUCAUACCACAUCUUCUUUUUUUUAUAGUGAAUCCAAUAUUAAUUGACUAGGAUUCUAUGUCAGUUUAAGAGAUAACUGUAUUGUAUUUGAAGCUUUAAGGACGUCCAUCGGUAGUUUUACUGCGCAAAUUAGUUUACCUGGCGACGCGGAGCGGAGAACAGGUAACGGGUAUUUCGACAGUAAAAACCGAUGGACGUCCGAAAGCUUCAAUACAAUACAGUUAUCUCUAUUCUAAUGCAAAACAAGUUUAUAAUUAAAUUUUAAUCAUUAUUUCAGUGUAAAAUGUUCAUUAAAGAAAAUUCCGCGAAAAGAUGUUAUGUUCUUUGGUCUACACUAUGACGUCAUAGGUAUGCUUCCGGCGUCAAACAUAAACAACGGCCGUUUUCUGGCUUCUGUGCCGCUUCAGAAUGUAAUAAAAUUUGAUAAAAAGAAGAUUUUUAGGCGCAACAAGUGAGUUUUUUGUUUAUUAUUGUAGAAAUAACAUGUCAAUACAUUCCGAAAUUCAAAAUGUCGGCUUCCUUAGUUACAGACAAGGAGAUAGAGAAUUUUACGCUUGCUGUUAUCCAAUCAGAACAAUUGUUACAAAAUAAUUGCAUUAGAAUUUCCUAUUGACUGUGAUUUUUUGGGCACUCUAGAUCUUACUUCCUCCACCAAUAAAAACUGGCUGCCACAAAAGAUCCUAAAGUGGCAUUAAAACACUUAAAAUCAUAUCUAAUCAGUGGAGUCUCCCUCGCAAUUGAAUAUAAAAGUUUGUGAAAUGUUGGCUUUGGGGGCACACAGCAUUAGCCAUAUACAACUUGUUAGGGGGUUUGGGGACAUAGAAUUCUAGUGGAUAUAAAUAAGAAGAUGUGGUAUGACUGAGGCUUAUAAUACAUGUUCUCACCAUUGAUGAUCAAUAAUUUUUCAAUUCUUUUUUAGGUUAUAACAAUUAUUUUUGUAAGUUGCAUACACACAGAAUACCUUUUGUAAAUGGUAGUACUUAUUCGUCAAGCUGGAACCAGCUGAUUCGUCCACUGCAGCUACCAACAUUACACAGGAAGAUGAAAUCCAAACAGCGAAGGAAGAGGAAUGCUGGGUAAAUGAUACAAAGG
rnacentral:lncRNA from 1 species